rnacentral:rRNA from 1 species
UACGAAGGGGGCUAGCGUUGCUCGGAAUGACUGGGCGUAAAGGGCGCGUAGGCGGCUCGGCUUGUUAGACGUGAAAUUCCUGGGCUCAACCUGGGGACUGCGUUUAGGACGGCCGGGCUGGAGUUCGGAAGAGGGUCGUGGAAUUCCCAGUGUAGAGGUGAAAUUCGUAGAUAUUGGGAAGAACACCGGUGGCGAAGGCGGCGACCUGGUCCGAUACUGACGCUGAGGCGCGAAAGCGUGGGGAGCAAACAGG